rnacentral:rRNA from 1 species
CGGUAGCACAGGGAGCUUGCUCCUGGGUGACGAGCGGCGGACGGGUGAGUAAUGUCUGGGAAACUGCCUGAUGGAGGGGGAUAACUACUGGAAACGGUAGCUAAUACCGCAUAACGUCUUCGGACCAAAGAGGGGGACCUUCGGGCCUCUUGCCAUCACAUGUGCCCAGAUGGGAUUAGCUAGUAGGUGAGGUAAUGGCUCACCUAGGCGACGAUCCCUAGCUGGUCUGAGAGGAUGACCAGCCACACUGGAACUGAGACACGGUCCACACUCCUACGGGAGGCAGCAGUGGGGAAUAUUGCACAAUGGGCGCAAGCCUGAUGCAGCCAUGCCGCGUGUAUGAAGAAGGCCUUCGGGUUGUAAAGUACUUUCAGCGAGGAGGAAGGCAUUGUGGUUAAUAACCGCAGUGAUUGACGUUACUCKCAGAAGAAGCACCGGCUAACUCCGUGCCAGCAGCCGCGGUAAUACGGAGGGUGCAAGCGUUAAUCGGAAUUACUGGGCGUAAAGCGCACGCAGGCGGUCUGUCAAGUCGGAUGUGAAAUCCCCGGGCUCAACCUGGGAACUGCAUUCGAAACUGGCAGGCUAGAGUCUUGUAGAGGGGGGUAGAAUUCCAGGUGUAGCGGUGAAAUGCGUAGAGAUCUGGAGGAAUACCGGUGGCGAAGGCGGCCCCCUGGACAAAGACUGACGCUCAGGUGCGAAAGCGUGGGGAGCAAACAGGAUUACAUACCCUGGUAGUCCACGCCGUAAACGAUGUCGACUUGGAGG